AAAGACUUAGUCCUAACCUUACAGUUAGUUCUUGCCAGACAUAUACAUGCAAGCAUCCGCAUGCCAGUGCAAAUGCCCUUGGCCUCUUACCAAGACAAAAGGAGCAGGUAUCAGGCUCACCUACACCGUAGCCCAAGACACCUUGCCACCGGCCACACCCCCACGGGUACUCAGCAGUAAUAAACCUUAAGCAAUGAGUGCAAGCUCGACUUAGCCAUGGCAACCCCCAAGGGCUGGUAAACCUUGUGCCAGCCACCGCGGCCAUACAAGAAGCCCAAACUAACUGCCCACGGCGUAAAGAGUGGUACAACACUAUCCAACUAACUAGGGCUAAAAUGCAACCAAGCUGUCAUAAGCCUAAGCUGCACACAAACACCCCCUCAAAACGACCCUAGCACCCCGGACCAACCGACCCCACGAAAGCCAGGGUACAAACUGGGAUUAGAUACCCCACUAUGCCUGGCCUUAAAUCCAGAUGUUCCCUCACCAAACAUCCGCCCGAGAACUACGAGCACAAACGCUUAAAACUCUAAGGACUUGGCGGUGCCCCACAUCCACCUAGAGGAGCCUGUCCUAUAAUCGAUACCCCACGAUGCACCCGACCGCUCCUUGCACGGCAGCCUACAUACCGCCGUCGCCAGCUCACCUUACUGAGAGGACAACAGUGAACACAACAGCCCCCAACCACUAACAAGACAGGUCAAGGUAUAGCCAAUGGACCGGAAGAGAUGGGCUACAUUUCCUACACCAGGAAACCACGAAAGGGGAUAUGAAACCAUCCCCAGAAGGAGGAUUUAGCAGUAAAGCGGGACAAUCAUGCCCUCUUUAAGUCGGCCCUGGGGCACGUACAUACCGCCCGUCACCCUCCUCACAAGCUUCCCCACCUCAUUCUUAAUCCAACAGCCCGCUAAUUCAGACGAGGCAAGUCGUAACAAGGUAAGUGUACCGGAAGGUGUACUUAGCAUA
rnacentral:ncRNA from 1 species